UGGGGAAUAUUGCGCAAUGGGGGGAACCCUGACGCAGCCAUGCCGCGUGAAUGAAGAAGGCCUUCGGGUUGUAAAGUUCUUUCGGUAUUGAGGAAGGUUGAUGUGUUAAUAGCACAUCAAAUUGACGUUAAAUACAGAAGAAGCACCGGCUAACUCCGUGCCAGCAGCCGCGGUAAUACGGAGGGUGCGAGCGUUAAUCGGAAUAACUGGGCGUAAAGGGCACGCAGGCGGUUAUUUAAGUGAGGUGUGAAAGCCCCGGGCUUAACCUGGGAAUUGCAUUUCAGACUGGGUAACUAGAGUACUUUAGGGAGGGGUAGAAUUCCACGUGUAGCGGUGAAAUGCAUAGAGAUGUGGAGGAAUACCGAAGGCGAAGGCAGCCCCUUGGGAAUGUACUGACGCUCAUGUGCGAAAGCGUGGGGAGCAAACAGGAUUAGAUACCCUGGUAGUCCACGCUGUAAACGCUGUCGAUUUGGGGGUUGGGGUUUAACUCUGGCGCCCGUAGCUAACGUGAUAAAUCGACCGCCUGGGGAGUACGGCCGCAAGGUUA
rnacentral:rRNA from 1 species